rnacentral:misc_RNA from 1 species
GAAGAACACCAACCCAAAUUCUGCUCAUAACCAAGUCGAAUUGCCACCCAAAGUUGGGUCACCAAAACUAUCAAAACCAGAAAUUGUCCAGAAUUUCUCAGUUUGGACCAAUCCGGCCAGCCUUAGAAAAAUAGGCAUAACUUGGACUACAAAAUCCCAAAUGGAGUGAUUUAAAAAGGGAAUUAAAACUAAGACAAUAAGGAACAACUUUGA